rnacentral:rRNA from 1 species
UACGUAGGGUCCGAGCGUUGUCCGGAAUUAUUGGGCGUAAAGGGCUCGUAGGCGGUUCGUCACGUCGGGAGUGAAAACUCGGAGCUUAACUCCGAGCCUGCUUCCGAUACGGGCAGACUAGAGGUAGGCAGGGGAGAGCGGAACUCCUGGUGUAGCGGUGGAAUGCGCAGAUAUCAGGAAGAACACCGGUGGCGAAGGCGGCUCUCUGGGCCUUACCUGACGCUGAGGCGCGAAAGCUAGGGGAGCAAACGGG